ACAUAGAAUAUCCCCACUGUCAGAACAAGAAAAUUGAAACUCUCAAUCACUCAAAGAAUACACCAGAACAUGUUAAAACAGUGAGGAUAGGGAAAAAUAGUAUCACGCCUAAGAUAGGAUUAAAACAAAGCAUAUGAAGCCAUAAGGACACCAACUGAGACGCCGAAUUGACGCCAAACAGCAGACAACAAGCAGAAACAACAGAUUGAUCACGCCAGAAGGCACGAUUCGGACUAGAGCUGCAUCAGACCUAGGAUUACGCCAGAAGUUCUACAAUUAUGCAGAAAAAAUUUGCAGACCCCAUGUCAAGCUUAAACCUGCAACUAACGGCUCCAAUUCUUGAAUGCCAGAGUUUCUUCAAAAUGACCAAUCAUUCACUUCAUGUGUGUAUGAUUAUUUGACAAUGACAGAUCAUUCACAUGGUGUUGAGCCUACAAAAAGAACACAUUGACAGAAUUGAUGAUUUUAUACCAAAAUAGGCAAUUAAAAAAAGAUAUGUGGCUACAAAGAUAUAGUACCUGCAACAAUUCAAAAUAAGAACCACCAUGAUUCAUGACUUGAGAAUAA
rnacentral:lncRNA from 1 species